GAUAAACCAAGUGUUCUAUUACUUCUUUUUGUUCAUUAUUCAUUUUCUAAUCCUCCUGUUAAAUUACAUCCUAAAGUUAUUAGCCAAGCAUAAACGCUAAAAGCGACAUACAUGUUAGAUAUUGCUAGUAAUAAAAUUGUUAACAAUGAAACUAAGCAGAUAUAAGCUAAAUACAUUUUCAUUGCCUUGCC
rnacentral:snRNA from 1 species